rnacentral:misc_RNA from 1 species
UUUCCGUAGGUGAACCUGCGGAGGGAUCAUUAACACGUUAUCCACGUCAACCUUCUUUCUCUUCUUUUCUUCCCGUUGCGCGGUCCUUCGGGAUUGUCCCGCGAGCGAGCGCCCACUUUUUUUAUUUCAGAUGUAGGACUCGGUUACAGAAGUAUUAACCUUGAGAACAGAUUAUACUAAACUUUACGGGUAGCUAAUACCUCGUACUCUACUUUAAAAAACAUUAUAGCAACUCUUAGCAUCGGAAAUCUUGUCUCUCGCAUCGAUGACGAACGCAGC